rnacentral:lncRNA from 1 species
UAGCAUCUAGCUAAUCAGCUGACCUUGAGAUGCAGAGAUUAUCUGGAAUUAUCCAGAUUGGUCCAUUUAAUUACAUGAGUCCUUAAAAGUGGAAAGUGGAAGAAGAGGCAGAAGAGUGUGUCAGAGAGAUGCUGUGUGAAAAGGACUCAACCUGCCACUUGAGGCUUUGAGGCUGGAGAAAGGGGCCAUGAACCAAGGAUUGUGAGCAGCCUGUAAAACCUGGAAAAGACAAGGCAAUACCCUUUGCUGUCUCAGGGUCAAACAUGCAACUCCUGCCUGCUUGUAUGGCCAGCUGGGUUCAAGAAGGAAGGAACCUCAUUGUUGACAGUUACCAGAUGAAUGUGCCCCUUCUGUACAGCUAAGAAAUGGAAUAGACAUUGCUACAGCAUAAUGGACUCCAAGACAUCUGAUAUAACCUCUGCACAAUGCCUUGGGGAGCACACUGAUAUAUUUUUCCUUCUGAGAGUCAAGCAAUUUUCCUAAGAAAAAAAUACUGUGCUUUUCUGUAGCAAAAAGUCCACAGGUAUGUCAAAUACAGAUUUUACCAUGAUUAUAACUGAAAAAUAUAAAAGAGGUUUUAGAAAACAUCUUG